GGUGAGUAAUGUCUGGGAAACUGCCUGAUGGAGGGGGAUAACUACUGGAAACGGUAGCUAAUACCGCAUAACGUCGCAAGACCAAAGAGGGGGACCUUCGGGCCUCUUGCCAUCGGAUGUGCCCAGAUGGGAUUAGCUAGUAGGUGGGGUAACGGCUCACCUAGGCGACGAUCCCUAGCUGGUCUGAGAGGAUGACCAGCCACACUGGAACUGAGACACGGUCCAGACUCCUACGGGAGGCAGCAGUGGGGAAUAUUGCACAAUGGGCGCAAGCCUGAUGCAGCCAUGCCGCGUGUAUGAAGAAGGCCUUCGGGUUGUAAAGUACUUUCAGCGGGGAGGAAGGGAGUAAAGUUAAUACCUUUGCUCAUUGACGUUACCCGCAGAAGAAGCACCGGCUAACUCCGUGCCAGCAGCCGCGGUAAUACGGAGGGUGCAAGCGUUAAUCGGAAUUACUGGGCGUAAAGCGCACGCAGGCGGU
rnacentral:rRNA from 1 species